UAGGGAAUCUUCGGCAAUGGGGGCAACCCUGACCGAGCAACGCCGCGUGAGUGAAGAAGGUUUUCGGAUCGUAAAGCUCUGUUGUAAGAGAAGAACGUGUGUGAGAGUGGAAAGUUCACACAGUGACGGUAACUUACCAGAAAGGGACGGCUAACUACGUGCCAGCAGCCGCGGUAAUACGUAGGUCCCGAGCGUUGUCCGGAUUUAUUGGGCGUAAAGCGAGCGCAGGCGGUUUAAUAAGUCUGAAGUUAAAGGCAGUGGCUUAACCAUUGUUCGCUUGGGAAACUGUUAAACUUGAGUGCAGAAGGGGAGAGUGGAAUUCCAUGUGUAGCGGUGAAAUGCGUAGAUAUAUGGAGGAACAUCGGUGGCGAAAGCGGCUCUCUGGUCUGUAACUGACGCUGAGGCUCGAAAGCGUGGGGAGCAAACAGG
rnacentral:rRNA from 1 species